rnacentral:lncRNA from 1 species
AUGGUGGUGUUGGACCACCACAGAGACCUUUAACCUAAACUACAAAGCAGAUAAGAGGCAUACACACCCGCACACACACAUGCACCUACGACUAUUACACAAAAGCCUAUUUACAUUCUAAGGUCUCUUGAAAAAUAAAUAUGCAUGGUUUACAUUAAGCCUAAAUAUACAUUCUAAUAUGUGCAAUAGAGAUAAAUGACAUAAAGUAAAUAUACACAAAUGAAUCAAUGAUAAAUAUGCAACCUAAUCUAAUACACAUAAAAUCAAUAAAGGGCAGAGGAAAUAAAAAAAAUGCAAGAGAAAUUAAAAUGCAUGAAAAAAGAAACUUAGAAAAGAAAUGUAAGAGGUCAGCAGUUCUCUUUACAACAGAAUCUCUUUUAAUUUGAAGAGCAGCCACGACCUUCUUGCAAUUGGAAUGGAAUAGAACAGCACGACAAACACCUGCAAUUUUCUGGAAAACUUUAUUUGAGUAAGUCCACUGCUACAAUUGAAAGUUAUACCAAUAUAAUAUUGAAACAUAACAGCCAUGGCGAUAGAAAAUUGAUGAUUGGAAUUGGAUUACAACAGCACUGUUAUGAAGCAACAACGAUGAUAAAAACAGCAGCAAUAAUGAACACGGCAGCAACAAAUUUGGAAUUUAAUUAUGCAGCAAUAGUAGAAAAAGGUAUGGAAUAGCAGGUGCAGCCAAUAACAAAGAUGAAACUCAAAGAAACCAAUAUGAAACUUUAAAGAAAAUAAUUAAAUAGGGUAUUGAAUUAACACGGUAGCAUGAAUUGAAACCGAACAAUAAUAGUGCUAGUGAUGAAAUGUUGAUAGUAAUCGAAAUUAAAUAGGAGAAUCACAGCUAAAUGGAAAUUUAAAGGCAUGACAGUAUUAUAUUUUAAUAAAUGGGAUUGCAGCAUUCACAAAGGUUCAUGGCACAAGUAAGGCAAAUUGAAAUAACAAGUAGUUAGCCAUGCAUCAAUAUGAAGAUAAUGGAAUUGCAACAAUAGCGUGAAAGCAAAAACGAAAUACUGUAAUUGAAUUUGAAUGGGUAGUAAAAAUAAUGAAACGGCGAUUGGAAUGGUUUUUGAAAAGAAAAAAAAAAAAAAUAUUGCGGUGGCUAGGUUUUUCGGAAUUGUUGUGAGUGAAAAAUUGUGUUAUUAGGUCAAAUUGUGUGUGUCAAUUGUGUUGUUGCAGGUUGCUUUUAUAGAAAGGGGAUCAGCACUAGGGUUUGUUGAAAGUCUGCUGAAAAUUUGUGGCUUGGGGAGGAGAAUAAGCACUGUUAUUGCUGGAUUGAUAAGGCUGGGAAUUGGAUUGGGAUGGAGAAAGAAAGAAAACGUGUACUGUGUUGUUUUUGGAUGAGG